rnacentral:rRNA from 1 species
UACGUAGGGUGCAAGCGUUAAUCGGAAUUACUGGGCGUAAAGCGUGCGCAGGCGGUUUUGUAAGUCUGAUGUGAAAUCCCCGGGCUCAACCUGGGAAUUGCAUUGGAGACUGCAAGGCUAGAGUGUGUCAGAGGGGGGUAGAAUUCCACGUGUAGCAGUGAAAUGCGUAGAUAUGUGGAGGAACACCGAUGGCGAAGGCAAUCCCCUGGGCCUGCACUGACGCUCAUGCACGAAAGCGUGGGGAGCAAACAGG